AGCCAGCAUGGCAUAGUGGUUUGAAUUCAGGACUACAACUCUGGAGACUAGGGUUCAAUUCCCAGCUUGGCUA
rnacentral:tRNA from 1 species